AUAAGUCAUUAAUCACCCUAGGUUUCUUCUGAAGCCAGUGGUGAGAAAUGACACCUUCAGAGACCAAUUCAUCUUAGAUACAUAU
rfam:Balearica pavonina gibbericeps contig73186, whole genome shotgun sequence.